AGAACGAACGCUGGCGGCAGGCCUAACACAUGCAAGUCGAGCGCUGUAGCAAUACAGAGCGGCGCACGGGAGAGUAAUACAUGGGAACCUACCUUUUGGUUCGGAAUAACGUCGGGAAACUGACGCUAAUACCGGAUAAGCCCUUCGGGGGAAAGUUUUUCGCCGAUAGAUGGGCCCAUGUUGGAUUAGCUAGUUGGUGAGGUAACGGCUCACCAAGGCUACGAUCCAUAGCUGGUCUGAGAGGAUGAUCAGCCUCACUGGGACUGAGACACGGCCCAGACUCCUACGGGAGGCAGCAGUGGGGAAUAUUGGACAAUGGGGGCAACCCUGAUCCAGCCAUGCCGCGUGAGUGAUGAAGGCCUUCGGGUUGUAAAGCUCUUUGCAGGGGACGAUGAUGACGGUACCUGAGAAUAGCCCCGGCUAACUUCGUGCCAGCAGCCGC
rnacentral:rRNA from 1 species